AGUGAACGCUGGCGGUAGGCCUAACACAUGCAAGUCGAACGGCAGCACAGUAAGAGCUUGCUCUUACGGGUGGCGAGUGGCGGACGGGUGAGGAAUACAUCGGAAUCUACUUUUUCGUGGGGGAUAACGGAGGGAAACUUACGCUAAUACCGCAUACGACCUACGGGUGAAAGCAGGGGAUCUUCGGACCUUGCGCUAUUGAAUGAGCCGAUGUCGGAUUAGCUAGUUGGCGGGGUAAAGGCCCACCAAGGCGACGAUCCGUAGCUGGUCUGAGAGGAUGAUCAGCCACACUGGAACUGAGACACGGUCCAGACUCCUACGGGAGGCAGCAGUGGGGAAUAUUGGACAAUGGGCGCAAGCCUGAUCCAGCCAUACCGCGUGGGUGAAGAAGGCCUUCGGGUUGUAAAGCCCUUUUGUUGGGAAAGAAAAGCAGCAGGUUAAUACCCCGCUGUUCUGACGGUACCCAAAGAAUAAGCACCGGCUAACUUCGUG
rnacentral:rRNA from 1 species